UGGGGAAUAUUGGACAAUGGGCGCAAGCCUGAUCCAGCCAUGCCGCGUGAGUGAUGAAGGCCCUAGGGUUGUAAAGCUCUUUCACCGGUGAAGAUAAUGACGGUAUCAUAGGAGGAAGCCCCGGCUAAAUACGUGCCAGCAGCCGCGGUAAUACGUAUGGGGCGAGCGUUGUCCGGAAUUAUUGGGCGUAAAGGGUACGUAGGCGGUCUAUUAAGUCAGGUGUGAAAGCGUGAGGCUUAACCUCAUUAAGCACUUGAAACUGAUAGACUUGAGUGAAGGAGAAGAAAGUGGAAUUCCUAGUGUAGCGGUGAAAUGCGUAGAUAUUAGGAGGAAUACCGGUGGCGAAGGCGACUUUCUGGACUUUUACUGACGCUCAGGUACGAAAGCGUGGGGAGCAAACAGG
rnacentral:rRNA from 1 species